CGGAUAUAUCACGUUGAAAUACCGGUUCCGAUAUGAUCACCUAAGUUAAGCAGCCUCAAGCCUGAUCACUACCUAGAUGGGUGACUGCUUGGGAAUGUCACGUGG